ACUAAUUCUGCUGUCCGUGAUUUCCGUGUAAAUUAGUUCAGCUUCGUGGACUUCCGCUGGUCAUACACGGAUAGAACGCAUGGCAGCGACGAGGUCAUGAGGAGGGAAUCGGGCAAGGGGAAGCGCACCCAUGGAAGCGACGAGGAGGGAAUCAGGCAAGGGGAAGCGCACCCAUGGCAGCGAUGAGGGAAUCGGGCGGCGGCCGACGACCAAGCGCUCGGCGGCGGAGGCCUUCUGAGAUCUGCGAAGAGCUCCUUGGCGGCUCAAAGGAGAUCACCUAGGUAGUUGGAGGGUGGCGACGAGCUGAGCCCAGGCUGGCGGCGACGAGCUGAGCGCAGGCUCGCGGCGACGAGCUGGGCACCACCCCGACGGUUAUUUUCUCUCUAAUUUCCAGUCCAAGAUGCAUUCAUUAUCUGUACUUAGCGUUCAUAUCUUUUUGAAAUUGAUUUGAAUAUGUCCAAGUUGAGAUGGUACAAAUAAAUAGAUUGUCUGCCGAAUUUGUUUGGGAUAUGACUGAAUUGUGUUUCAAAUUCAGUGAAUUUUGACCAAAAUUACUUCUAUAAAAUUGAGUUGAAUUGUGUUUCAAAUUCAGUGAAUUUUGACCAAAAUUACUUCUAUAAAAUUGAGUUGGAUUUGUAUAAAAUGCUUUGUCACAUCCUGUUGUAAUUUGUGAAGUUGUGACAGUUUUAGAUAUAUCUUUAAUUUUCAAGAUCAUCUGAUUUGUGUUGAGCCAGGUAGCUGACAUGUAGGUUUUGGUUCAGUUUGAUUUGUACUUUCCUAUCUAUUACUUCCUUGACAUUUUUGUUCCGAUAUUAUCUUAAUACCACCUAGACCUAGUCAUCUCCUAGCUGGUCCGAGCCUCCAGGUUGCAUGUUAUGUUGAUGUACGAUGUUGAAAGUUGAAACUAGAAGUAAGAUAUCAUAUCAGUGACAAUAUAUUUCACAAUCUAUUUGAGGUUUGAUUCACUAGUGUUUUCUUACAGUCCCAUUAGAUAUAUGUGUUGGUAACCAUCUUUGGUGGUUCUGAAAUGAAGACUGUCAAAGCUACAUGUCAGAUAUCCAAGCUAGAUUUGAAGUUUUUUUGUAUCCUUAAUGGAUAUAGAUAUCUUUCCCUUUAGCAACUGUUAAUUUUUAUUUCCUGGAGUGCAUGGUAGUUAGAAUAACCAUGUUCUUUUUCUAUGAUGACACUAAAAAUUAAAGAAGCAUUGUUGUCGCACUGGGGCGAAUGUUGGCUGCUACGUUGCGUUUCUGGUGUGGUGCACUUUACAAAAAGGGUUUGCCUUGAUAUGGGGAAGGCGGUGGCGCUCAGUACGGGCGGGCGGUACGGUCGGCCCCGCCCGUACGGAUGCCCGAUAAACUCCUUGCCUAGUCAGGAUGAAAUUGGCCUCUAAAGGAAAUGUCUUUAUUUUGUUGCAAUUAACUCAUAAAUUUCCUCGGAUCCUCCAUAAAUGAAGGUUUCCUGAAAUACGUAAUUCAAAAGCAAGGUUUUCCGCUGUGAGCUCAAGAAUUUAUUCCAGGGGGGACUGAUGAGGAUGAGCCUGCUCAGCAUACCAUGUGCACCCUUGGUUGCUCUGUGGGACACAUGUUUCUGCUCUUUCUGGUGUCGGCGGAGAGGCCACUGCCAAUAUCUUGUUGCUCGGUUGUGGAUGAGCUGGAGCGCAAGUUAAAUGGCAUCAAGAUUGGUGGAGUGAGUGAAGCAGCAGACAGCCAAAAGAAGAUGGGGUGCAGUAUAGGUAUUACAGGACCAAGUUUUAUACUGAAAUUCUAUUGUUGGCAAAAAAAGUUGAUCUGAUGGUAUACUCGCCAGAGUGUUUUUCAAACUCGAUACUCAUGGAGGUGUAGCUUCUUACUGAUUCACCAACUAUGAAAUGCAGGGUUUGGCCUUUGUUUAAUUGAAUAGUUUGGAGGUUGAAUCUACAGUCGUGGAAUGCAAGAUUGAGCAUCCGUUCUCGUGUUGAUUGAUCUCUUUCCGCCGUCAGCCUGAUGGUGGUGGGCUCACAGCAACACAACCAUGGUGGCGGUGGUGUUCUUCUGCUACAACCGAGCGGUCUGGGUCUUGAGUUGGUCCGCAAAAGCACUCCAUAGGCCAUCAUUAUGUUCAGUGUCGAGCAAUAUGUAGCAGUUUGCACUCAGAAGACUCCAUGUGCACAACAAGAUGCUUUACUUCUGCUAGGAACGCCAAGGGGAACAAUGGUUCUAAACCUAGUUCAAACACUACCGUGAAGGUAAAGAAGAAAAGAGCUAAGACCUGAAGUAACUAGUUUGUUCUUGUGCUUGUCCUCGCUAGCUCACUACAUCGACCAGGCCUGUUGCUGCUCUGACCUGUAGGAGAACUAAUGCUCCAACUACGUCCCCGUGUCCAAAAGUCACAUUGUUGUUCCAGUGGUGGUGUGGUGGCGUUGGUGCCCUCCGAUGGUGUUCUGGUGGUGGUGCCCUCUGUGUGUUCCGGUGGUGGUGCCCUCUGGUGGUGUUGUCCACCAGAGCUGCUAGCGGCAACCACGUGAGCUCCUACUAGUACUGCUGGCGUCCAGUACAACCUGCUGCCCCUGCCUUCUUCGACCUGGAGCUGAUGCUCCAACUGCGUCCCCGUGCCCGAAACCCUAGUGGUGGAAGUUCAUCCAGGCGGCAACAUUUCGUAAAGAAGGUGUCUUGUAAAGAAGUAUUCAUUGGAGCACUACACGGCCCAUCCUCGUGGGGCUCCGCAGACAUGGUCUAUCGCCAACUGGCUCGGGUGGUGCGGCUUGCCUCCGGUCCGCUAUGCCUUGACCCGGCGGCGUAUGCAGUACUGUUCCAUUUGUUGUAAUACUAAGUAGUCGAAUUGUGUCGUCCAAAUCAGUAGAUUUAGUUCUUACCCGUGUAUUUCUUUAUUCUUUAUUUGCACUUGUCAUCUUUACUACAUUCAUAUACUCCAUGUAUCCUUAAAUACCUAUGUGUUAUGCAUAGUACUAGUAGUUGAUUGUUUGCGAAGUGAUGUGGAUGU